rnacentral:rRNA from 1 species
UGGGGAAUUUUGGACAAUGGGCGCAAGCCUGAUCCAGCCAUGCCGCGUGAAGGAUGAAGUAUUUCGGUAUGUAAACUUCGAAAGAAUAGGAAGAAUAAAUGACGGUACUAUUUAUAAGGUCCGGCUAACUACGUGCCAGCAGCCGCGGUAAUACGUAGGGACCAAGCGUUGUUCGGAUUUACUGGGCGUAAAGGGCGCGUAGGCGGCAAUUCAAGUCAUCUGUGAAAUCUCCGGGCUUAACUCGGAACGGUCAGAUGAUACUGCUUUGCUAGAGUGCAGAAGGGGCAAUCGGAAUUCUUGGUGUAGCGGUGAAAUGCGUAGAUAUCAAGAGGAACACCUGAGGUGAAGACGGGUUGCUGGGCUGACACUGACGCUGAGGCGCGAAAGCCAGGGGAGCAAACGGGAUUAGAUACCCCCGUAGUCCCUGAGCGGGCUGGCAAGGCGCAU